rnacentral:sRNA from 1 species
UGACUGUAAGCUGUGAUCUCAGUAUACAAAGCGUGACUGAAGCAGCAGCCUGCACAUGUGGAUGGUCAUCAGUGCCUCGCCCAGAGAUGCCUGGCCUUCAUCCAAAGGGACCCUGCUGUCACAAGUCCUCCAGGCAGCACCCGCACUGUGGCUCCUUCGCACUGAGUUUGUUGGACUCUGCCAUAGACUGACCCUCUUGUCUGGCUGCUGCAGUUUGUCUGUAAUGCCCUGACAUGUUGCAUUUUCCCCAUUUGGAUAAAUAAAAACAAAUGCUUCUGUCA